GAAACAGUGAUCGACAAAUGCUACACAAAGGGCCGUAAAAAGACCUCCACCUUUGAUCACGUAUUUGUUCUCUUUGAGUGGCACGUUUUGACUCUCUUUGUGUGCCACAUGGACAGAGGUUAGGACAGAGGGACCUUUGGGCACUCCCGAUAGAAAUUGCCUCCGAGGGCGUCUUUUCGCCAAAUCCCGUGCUGCAAUCUUUUCUUCUUGUAAAGUCUUUUCUUCCCGUGCAGGGCAGCACGACCAACCCAUUCUUUUCAUUUUUAUGUGCAAACACCCUUCAAGAAAUAUCUCCUUUGGCCUCUUUUUGUACUUUUUACUCUCUUUUUUUACAUUCAAUUCUUUCUUUAUUUCCCUUUGUUUUCUUUCUCUCUUUUGUUAAUCUCUCUCUCCUCUUUUCUCUCUUUGCUACCGUGAGCAGCGAAGGUGGGCUGCGACGGUGGACGUGGAGGUGAGGGGUCAAGGGUUUUGAUCUCUUUACAUAAUCUUCCUCUUCGCUUUUGCAAUCUAUAUUUUCCUCUUAACACUGGCGACAUUGUGAAAGACCAACACAUCUCUUUACGAAUCCCACUCCCAAUCCCAAUCUCAACUUCUACAGAUAGCUGAUGAAGAACUUUGGGAUGCUCCUUCUAGCCAUGGUUUACGUCCAUGUGUCAAGCCUACUGAACAGAUGCAAAGGGUCCGGCCACUGUUUAACGGUGAAAAGCAAUGGGCCUUGAAUCAAAUGCGCACUGGUGAAGAAAAGAGUAUAACCCAUCCUGUAUGAACAAUGCUUAGCUAGGUCACGUGAUGAGUGGAAUUGUAUGCUAGACAAGACCUAUUUUUUGGGUAUGGCAGCAUAUGAAGUUAUUUGUGGCUUGACAUUGAGGCAGGCAGUGAGUGUGUCUGUAAAGUGCACUGAAUUAUUUCCCUUUUUUUAUUUGUCUGUUUUCAUUUUUGCUUUCCUUCCUUUAUUUGUUUUCUUUUUAAGUUUUGCUAGACUCUUUACUUAUUUUUAUGCAAUUUAUUAUUAUUAUUGUUAUUUUCAUAAUAGUUUCUUCCUCAGCAGCAAUAAGUUUGUCGCAAACAAAAUCGAUACAACAAGAUAAAAAUAUUAAAAGCUAAAAGAUUUACGAACAUAAAAAAAAAGUAAUUCUUAGUCACUUAUUGUUCUUCACUUCAAUGCUGGCAAUUUAUUGAUAACCUAGAAACUUCUUAGUUGGCUUUAGCUAUUAACGUAGAGAUAUAAUAAAUUAUAGGGAAGUAAUAAAAUUGUCGAGAGAAACCAAAGUUUGACAUUUCUACACCGUUUGGAUCCCAACAAAAAGGACAACUUAUUUUAAUUGAUACGUACCAGAGUAUCUAUUAUUUUAGUAAUUAUGCAUUUUAUUUUCUUAAACCUGCAAAUCAGCUGUUUUAUAGUAUACUACAUAUUUUGAAUUUUUCUUUUUGCACAUGGAGUGAGAUGCUAGAAAAUAUCCGUUAAUUUUCUUCACUUGGAACUAAAAACUUCAAUAUUUCUGUGACUUUCAAUAUGGGGAUUAUCUGGACAUUAUUGUUGUGCACUUUAAUGCUAGAAAUUUACUCAUAACCCAAAAAAUUUUUAAUUGACUUCAACUCUUAGGUUAGAGAUAUAUUGGAUUAUAGAGAAAUUGUGAGAGUCUAGACAGAAGACAAAAUUUCCCAUUUCUGCACUACUUAAUUGCCAAGAAAAAAGACAAGUUAUUUUAACUGAUAUAUAACAGAGUAUCUAUUAAUUUACUAUUUAUGCAUUGUAUUUUCUUAAAUUUACAACUGACCUAUUUUUAAAGAAGUGCCUUCUUGUUAUAGAAAUGUUUUUUUCUCUUUUUCCUGGACAAUGUUCUGUACUUUCACUUUUGGACUAAUAGAGAAUAGACUACUUCUUUGUGCUUAUCAAAUAUUUAUCUCUGUCUGUCAGUAAUUAAAUCUAAAUGCUUUCAAUGUUGCAUACAACUUAUUCUAGAGGAUAGUAUUGGAUAAAUAGAGGUUGUGGCCUUUGGUAGAUUGGUGGAAAAAUUGGUUGGGGCGGCAAUCACAAAACUUGCAGCCGUAAAACUAUCCACUGCAUGACAUUGCCUGGACUUGUUAAAGCGUUGAUCAACCAAACUAGGACUUUCAUAAUAGGUCUGACCUCAAGAGCAAUGAAAACAGAAAUUGCCAACUUCAGGAGGCUAACAACCCACCACUCCAAGUUCUAGCAUCAUUUCUGGAUCAGCAAUACUUCCAACAACAAUUUAGCGACCUCAGGAACAACCUCUGCCAUCACUAAUUGGCCCCUAAGUGGCCAGGGAGCUUUUCUUAGAUUGCACACCUCAGAAACAUGAUAGCACCAAUCAAGGAGAAGAAUCGCCCAUCAAAAAAUAUAUGACCAGGGGGUAGUCCAAACGACCCUAGAAACAGAAGCAUGGCUCAGGUUGAAUCCUUUUGCCCACCUGCAGUCAAUAAGAAACCUUGAAAUUUAAUUUCUAGCUACAUAUUAGAAGGCCUUAUAUUUUUUGUGUAAAGUUGCAUGGUUUGUGGAAUAGUUUGAACAUGACUUUUGUAUAUGGUCAGAGUGCUGGCAUUACCUUAACUACAAUACAUAUUUUUUGUAAUGCUUACCACCAAAUUAAAGCCUAGGUUAACAUUAUGACACAUGAUAACUCAUAUAGUCCCAUAGAAAAUCUUUAUAAUCAAGCCUUAAGAAAAGGCUCAUCAAGGUCAUAUUUUAUACAACCGUCACUUACAUGAACUACCUUUUUCUUAAUAAGGUGGGAAUGAAUGUAUAAACUAAUGAAAAACCAUAAUACUAGUUUUCAUUUUGUGUUCACAUCUGUUUAAAUUUGUAUACAAUCUCUUUUGCAACAACUUGCUUAAUUUCCAUGACAUAAACACUUUAUAAAAAUUUAAAUUUGCAGGAAAUGAACUAAUUCUACAACAUGUCUAAUUAUACCCGAGUGCAAGGCACGAGCAUAUUCUAGUUUAAUUUAAUUUAAAGUGCAAUUAUUUUAACCCUCACAGGGUCUUAAAUGUGACACAUGGUGUUGUAAAUGGGUUGAUGGAUGGAGGGCGUUUCGGACUCUUUUAAGUUUUUUUUUACAUUUUGCUUUUCUCUUUGUUCUUGCUCUGCCCGUUUUUUCAAAUAGUUAGCGCCCUUCUCUACCAACUAACCAUUCUCUCACCAGAGACCACCUAAGUUUUUUCUUUUUUUUGGUUUUUGCUAUUCAAUUGCUGUUAGCGGUCGCGUGUCUUCGUUGGCGAUCCUUUUCACAUGUGGUUUGUGUUGCUUUUCUCUUUCAAGUUGAUGGUAGUUCUUGUGUUUCUUGGCUGACUGAGGUUUUUAUCUCUGUUUAGUCUCUUAUGUUUUUGAUGGUUGGCCAAAGGUUUUCUAUCAGCAGCAGUGUAGGUGCUUAUUUUGUUCUUAGGGAUUUGGUAAUUGAACUUUUGCUUCGUGGAGUUCAAAGGUGGAUCCCUCUUGGUAUUUAAUACCUUUUUAAUGUCUUGAUUUUACUUUUAAGGCUUUAAUAUGAUCAGGAUCCUUUUAGAUUUUGAAGUUUGGAAAUCCUACUGUCCUUGAGACUUUCUAUGUCUUUAUGUUGUAGUUGUUUCUGUAGAUUUUAGUUUCAGAAC